rnacentral:rRNA from 1 species
GACCUGAUGCAGCCAUGCCGCGUGUGUGAAGAAGGCCUUCGGGUUGUAAAGCACUUUCAGUUGUGAGGAAAAGUUAGUAGUUAAUACCUGCUAGCCGUGACGUUAACAACAGAAGAAGCACCGGCUAACUCCGUGCCAGCAGCCGCGGUAAUACGGAGGGUGCGAGCGUUAAUCGGAAUUACUGGGCGUAAAGCGCACGCAGGCGGUUUGUUAAGCUAGAUGUGAAAGCCCCGGGCUCAACCUGGGACGGUCAUUUAGAACUGGCAGACUAGAGUCUUGGAGAGGGGAGUGGAAUUCCAGGUGUAGCGGUGAAAUGCGUAGAUAUCUGGAGGAACAUCAGUGGCGAAGGCGACUCCCUGGCCAAAGACUGACGCUCAUGUGCGAAAGUGUGGGUAGCGAACAGGAUUAGAUACCCUGGUAGUCCACACCGUAAACGCUGUCUACUAGCUGUUUGUGGCUUUAAGCCGUGAGUAGCGAAGCUAACGCGAUAAGUAGACCGCCUGGGGAGUACGGCCGCAAGGUUAAAACUCAA